AGAGUUUGAUCCUGGCUCAGGAUGAACGCUAGCGGCAGGCCUAAUACAUGCAAGUCGUACGAAGCCUUCGGGCUUAGUGGCGAACGGGUGCGUAACGCGUAAACAACCUGCCCUUCGGAGGGGGACAACAUCUGGAAACGGGUGCUAAUACCGCAUAACAUCACGAUGUCGCAUGGCAAUGUGAUCAAAAGAGUAAUCUGCCGGAGGAGGGGUUUGCGUUAGAUUAGCUAGUUGGCGGGGUAAUGGCCCACCAAGGCAACGAUCUAUAGCAGGUCUGAGAGGAUGAUCAGCCACACUGGCACUGAGACACGGGCCAGACUCCUACGGGAGGCAGCAGUAAGGAAUAUUGGUCAAUGGGCGCAAGCCUGAACCAGCCAUGCCGCGUGCGGGAAGACGGCCCUCUGGGUUGUAAACCGCUUUUCUUGGAGAGUAAAGCCGCAGUCGCUGCGGGGUGAACGUAUCCAAGGAAUAAGCACCGGCUAACUACGUGCCAGCAGCCGCGGUAAUACGUAGGGUGCAAGCGUUGUCCGGAAUCACUGGGUUUAAAGGGUGCGCAGGCGGACUGGUAAGUCGGUGAUGAAAUGUCGGGGCUCAACCCCGGCGCUGUUGCCGAAACUAUCAGUC
rnacentral:rRNA from 1 species